GUGACUUGAAGCUAUUGUAGCUACUGGUAAGGUUACACACGCAUAUGAAAUUGUGGUAGACCUGUGUAUUUGAACUUGUUAUCCAAAUCCCUGAAUCAUAAGGUCGCAUACCUAUAUGAACUUGCAUUCAGGCCUAUGCGUUUGAACUUGUUAUUCAAGCACUUAACCAUAAGGA